AAGUUUGAAGUAAUAAUUUACAUCUAGUUUCGACCUAGAAUUAGAUCGUCUUCACGAUCCUUACUUU
rnacentral:tRNA from 1 species